rnacentral:lncRNA from 10 species
UUUAUUCUAAAUAACUACACAACUCUUUUUAUAUUAGGGAAGCCACAAGCUGCUUGUUAUCUAUAUUGCACAUAUUUCUCCAUAUUUGCUCUUUGUCUUGCAACUUUAUUUAUAAGACUUUUGCUUGUUUUUGCCAUGGGAAAGUUUUCAUUGUUACUUAGUCCAGGUUACUGAUCUUUUGUUUGUGAUUACUGAAUUUCAUGAUGUGCUCAGAAAGACUUUCCACCCAAGAUUUAAAAAUAUUUAUCCAUUUCUUUCCUAGCUCUCAUGCAAUUUUAGCCGUACUUUAAAACAUUUGUUGCAUUUGGAAUGUAUUUGGUGUAAUGAAUGAAACAAGAACCCGCAUUGUAUUUAAAACAUUUCACACCAAUCUGUAUUUUUUCUUAAUACCAUUCAUCAUAAUUAUAAUAGCACAAUUAUUUAUAUGAUUAUCUUUACCCAAUCACCAUUGAGAUGCCACCUUUGUAUCAUGCAUUUAAAUAUUUUUUAAAAUGCUCCAGGGUGGGGCGCGGUGGCUCACGCCUUUAAUCCCAGCACUUUGGGAGGCCGAGGCUGACGGAUCACGAUGUGAGGAGAUUGAGACCAUCCUGGCUAACACAGUGAAACCCCGUCUGUACUAAAAAUACAAAAAAUUAGCUGGAUGUGGUGGCGGGCACCUGUAGUCCCAGCUACUCAGGAGGCUGAGGCAGGAGAGUGCCAUGAACCCAGGAGGCAGAGCUUGCAGUGAUCAUGCCACUGCACUCCAGCCUGGGCAACAGAGUAAGACCGUGUCUCAAAAGAAAAAAAAAAAGCUCCCUUCCACAUUAUCAUGUUAGAAUUUUGACCAAAAUGAUGAUGAUUUCCCAGAUUAUUUUGGAAGAAUUUAUAUUUUAUACCAUA